rnacentral:rRNA from 1 species
GACGAACGCUGGCGGCGUGCCUAAUACAUGCAAGUAGAACGCUGAAGGAGGAGCUUGCUUCUCUGGAUGAGUUGCGAACGGGUGAGUAACGCGUAGGUAACCUGCCUGGUAGCGGGGGAUAACUAUUGGAAACGAUAGCUAAUACCGCAUAACAGUAGAUAUCGCAUGAUAUCUACUUGAAAGGUGCAAUUGCAUCACUACCAGAUGGACCUGCGUUGUAUUAGCUAGUUGGUGAGGUAACGGCUCACCAAGGCGACGAUACAUAGCCGACCUGAGAGGGUGAUCGGCCACACUGGGACUGAGACAUGGCCCAGACUCCUACGGGAGGCAGCAGUAGGGAAUCUUCGGCAAUGGACGGAAGUCUGACCGAGCAACGCCGCGUGAGGGAAGAAGGUUGUCGGAUCGUAAAGCUCUGUUGUAAGAGAAGAACGAGUGUGAGAGUGGAAAGUUCACACUGUGACGGUAUCUUACCAGAAAGGGACGGCUAACUACGUG